CAAAUGUAAACAAAUGUCCAGUGUGUGUGUAAGAACCAUAUGUGUGGGUCAGUACUAUGUGGUGGUGUGAUUGAGAGACCGUAUCGCCUGCGGGAAGAAGCUCCUCCUCAGUCUCUCUGUGUUGGUCUUCAGGAAUCGCUUUCCUGACCUCAACAGAGAGAACAGUCCGUUGUUGGGAUGGCUGAGGUCCUUCACGAUCCUCCUGGCCUUGGUCCAGCACCGCCUGCUGUAGAUUGAGUGCAGUAACAGAAAAAACGUGUGACUGAUAUUUACAUGAAUAUGAGAGCUGCAAACUUAUAUUUCACCUUUUC
ensembl:lncRNA